rnacentral:rRNA from 1 species
UUUAAUUUAAAAGUUCUGGAGUAGUAUAAGAUAUAAUCUUCAAACUCAAAAGAUUUGGCGGUAUUUUAUCUUAUCAGAGGAACCUGUUUAUUAAUUGAUAUUCCACAACUAUAUUUUAUUUUUACUAUUAUACUUGUAUACCGCCGUCAUGAAUAUAUUAAAAAAUUGAUUUUCUUUAAUUUUUAUUUUAACUUAUGUUAGGUCAAGGUGCAGUUUGUAAAAAGUAAAAAUGGGUUACUUUAAGCAUUAUGAAUGAAUUGUUUUAUAGAUAAUAAUGAUGAAAUUGGAUUUGAAAGUAAAUAUAUUAUAGAAAUAAUAUGAAUAUAGUUUCUAAAAUAUGU